ensembl:lncRNA
CUAACAUGAAUACACCUCAGGUGGUUUUAUUUGGAGAAGAGAAACAGCAGGAUUAUAACCAUCUGAUUAGGGAAAAGAAAGCCUCCACUUUUUGUUUGCUGAUUGUGUGCAAGUGUGCAGUCAGUUUUGCUGACGUUCAUACAUGAGAGAUUCUGAAACAUGGGAGUAAUUUGAUGCAUACGCUUUGCUUGCUACAGUAAAUUACAGCCUUUCCUUGCCCAGGAGCUGAGCUAUAGUUUUUCUUCUGUUUCACAGUGUGAUACGUUGCCUUAAUUGCACCAUCUAUUGUGACAUUUUUGAUGCUUUUCAUUUUUGUCUUUCAUUGUGGGUGCUCCAACACGAGUAAAUGACACUACAGCAUUCAGAAAGCUUGUCAGGCUGCGUUCAGGUCAGCACUUCGUCAGUGACUGCUGUGAAAAAUAGUCAAUGAACAUCAAAGUUGUAGGACCUUGAAAAGGCAGUCAGGAGGAGCAGCCUGGAAAUCUGCAGAACAGAAGCACCUAAAGAGUUGCUUUGGUUUCCAGCAAAGGGCUUUGAACUCUGCUGGCCCUUCUCCAGAGCUGUGAUGUUGCCUGCACCGAUGCCUGCAGACUGGGGGGCUGGUAAAAUGCUCCGUACAGAGCGUACAGCUUCUAUCAGUGAAAGGCGGAACCUGACAGAAAGCAGAUUUCAUAUUGAUUAGUCUCUUCCUUAAGUAUAGUGGACCCACCACAGGGAUGAAUGUCAUCUUUACAGAGGAAGAAAAAUAACAGGAAGAAUUACAUCGUGCGGCAGUUUUUCAUUGCGGUGAAUUUAAGGUGGCUGUCAGGCAGACACCGAGCCAAGCUGAUGGCUUUCUGCUUGCAGAGGGAACAGCUCACAGGUAGCCUUACAGAUUCAGCAGGUAAGUGAGUUCAAGCUCACCACAUGUGAAAAAUAAACAAGGACAUUCUUUCCCAUGAUGGCAUCCUUUUUGUAGCAAAAGGAGUUGUGGAGGAGGGGAAAUGGCUGAUGAGCCAAUAGAUGUCAUUUCUCUGUGGUUAGGCUGAUUAUUUUUCUGUCCCAUGGAUAGCAAGCCAACAGCAGUUGCAUGAUGUAUAUUGCAUCCAAGGGAUAAAGUAGGCCUACUAGCUGAACUAGGACAAAAGAUAUCCUUUGGGCAGAUCUAGUAGCCAGUACCACAGUGAGUUUCUACUACACACUCUGUUCCCUGGAUUUACUGCUCACUGAAUGGAAAUGUAGAAAUGAGCAGAUUAGCUUCCUCUCUGGAAAGAAAGAGAGGCACUUUAGAAAGCAAGGUAGAUAUUUCAGAUUAUUUGCAGGCACAGCCAAGGAAUCAGGAACACUAAGUAAGUGACCAUGUGCAAAAGGAUUAUUCCAAUGCAAUGUCCUAGGGUAAAGGCAAAGCAAAGCUACUUGAGCUUAGAUGCAGGCUCCCACAGAAGGGCUGUUUUCUACUGUAGGAAUGAGUCACAGCAGCUGAAUAAUAAAGACUGUCCUAAAAGACAGCCUCAGACAUCAAGCUCCUGCUUAUUACACCUCAGAACAGCAGCUCACUGGGCUUUGUAAGAGCAUCAUUCUCCUAUCUCACAAAGCAGGGAGAUCACAAAAACUCCCCCUUUACCUUACAGGACAUAGUGCUGGAGACUGUGGGUCCAGCCUCAGCUCAGGGAAAGAUGUUUCCUAUAUCCCAUCUGACUCUGCCAAGCAUUUGGUCACUAAAGUGAUCUGUGAGAGCAUCUCCUUUCCUCAUUGCUGGCAAGAGCUUUUGCAAGUGGAGUUCCUCUAAGAGAGUUUAUUUUGAUGAAGUUGGAGUGUAUGUUUAUGUUUUUCUUUGGCAGAAACUACAUGUAGAUGUCCUGGGGUUUCAAGAUAACUGAAAUUGCCUUUUUAAUAGCUAGACUAUUUGCUCAACGUCCGCAUUGCUGUUUUGCUUUCAUCUGGGAUAGAGUUAAAUUUCUUCCUAGUAGCUGGUGUGGUGCUGUGUUUUGGAUUCAGAAUGAGAAUAGUGUUGAUCACGCAUCAAUAUUUCAGUUGUUGCUGAGCAGUGUUUACACUAAUUCAAGGACUUUUCUAUUUUUUGCACUGCUCUGUCAGCAAGAGGGCUGGGAAUGGGCACAAGAAGCUGGGAGGGGACAGAACCAGGACAGCCAUUCUAAACUGGCCAAAGGGAUAUUCCAUACCAGAUGGUGUCGUGCUGAACAACAAAACGGGAAGGAGUUGGCUGGGGGUUGGCCACUGGUCAGAGUUUGGGCUGGGCAUCAGGUAGUGGGUGGUGGACAACUGGGAUAUGCGUCACUUGCUUUGUUUAUAGUUUUAUCGUCAUUACUAUUUCCUCUUCUUUUCCUGUCCUAUUAUACUAUCUUUAUCUCACACGGCGAGGUGUACUGGUUCCUGCUACUUCUGGAAGCAAGGUUACCCAGUAAAGCUGAUACCGUUCUGCCAGUUCUCUCAUAGCUGCAAGAUUGUCUACCAUGCUUUGAACUCAGGAAAUCUUGUUUUUGAAACAUGCAACUCAGCAGUCAUGGAAGAGAGAAAGCUGUGGAAGAGGAAUAGAGGAGGGCUGCCCACCUCCUCCUUCAGAUGGGAAAGUCCUCACAGUUGUUUUCCCGCCAACCACGUCUGAACAUUGGAAUCUGCCCCAAGUUUCUGCGUGAGUUGAUGAGAAGAUGUGCUUUGGGCUGAUGCUAAUAAUUUUGAUUUCUGGGACUGGAAAUAAAGACAAAAAGGCACCUUAAUUCUAUCCACUAAAUCUUCUCAGAGGAAUUCUCUUGGCCUCUUCUGUUACAAGCAUCAUCCUUUGGUUUUCUCUUCAAAACUAUUUUAUGUACUGGGAGUCGUCAUCCCGGGAGGCAUGAACAAGAAUCUGGUGACAGGAGCAUCAUGAAGUUCAAGACUUCAAAUGUGAAGUCCUGCACCCUGUAAAUAGUGACACCAUGCAACAGUACAAACUGGGGACAGGCUGACUAGAAACUAGCUUUACAUAAGAGGACCUAGAGGUCCUGAUGGACAUCGAGCUGAAUGUGAGUCAAGAAUGUGCCACUGCGUGAAUGAGAGCCAAGCACAAAAGACACUGGGCUGCAUUAGUAACAGCAGAGGCAGUGGGUUGAGAUAGCCAGCAGAGGUGAAUAUUGCACCCCUCUGAGGAGAAGAAAAUCCCCCAGGCAAGCAGAGAGCAAGAUUGACAUUUCUCAUUAUUUCUGUACUCCAGGUAAUAUAUAUAAACUUUUUUUUUUUUUUUCCCUGGGAGCCCUUCAAACCAAGCAAAUGAAGACAUUUCUUCUGUACAGUCAACGACACUCCAAAAGGUCUGAUCUGCUCUCUGAAAUUUCCCCUGAUUUUGCUGUGGCCCUCAGGCUGUAACUCAGUGAUCUCAGGCACACAACGUGGCUAUCCCAAAAUCUCAAGUUUUGCUUUGACCAAGUAUUUACCAUAACGAAUAGAAACUAUUCCUUGAACAACAACGUCUUUUACCACUUGCAAAUCUCCAUCUAAUCUGACUGUCCUUAUCUAUAAGCGGAGAGAAUGAAAAGCAGGGAUAUAAAACCCAAAGGUUAAGUACAUAUUUUUUGCAACUGUUUAAUGUUCAGCAUUCUCAUGUUGUGAAGAACAUGCAAAGUUUCUGCAUUCUUUCUAUUGGGUGCAUUCGUUACCAAAGCAGACUUGCUAUCGGUUUGGGAUGUAAACUGACCUGGUGUCACUGCAAUUUGCCUGUUUUCAUGUGUGUGUUUGGUUUGCUUUUGGCAUACAGGCACUUACGACUGAUCCAAAGUCAUUCAAAAGCUCAGCAGAUGCUUCUGUGAAUCUCUUCUAUGUUUAGAAAUGGAAAUGAAGCACGAAACCAGGUGCUUUCUGUGCUGUCCUGAAUUAUGGAUUUUAUCCUUCAUGUUAUAACACAGUUUACUUGUCUUCUGGUUUAUCAUUUUUGAAGAAGGUAUGAGGUAAAAUACCAAGAUCUCCCUGACAGAGUCUUGUAGGACUCCAGGAACUGCUGUCUUCUGUACGGGUCCUCUCCAAUUCAACAGCACCCUUUCAGCUGACAUCAAAAGGGGUGAGUGAGGGCUGUGUGGAGUACAAGGAGCCAACACUGCUAAUAAGACAGAAAUUUGCCACUGAUUUUGUGAAAUUCUCUGUACUGGAUUAUACAGGAGAUCAGAAAAGAAGAUUUUCAGAGUCUCUUCCUCUAACUCUUGCAACUUACUCUUGGGAACUGGUAUUAUCAGGCAAGUAUGGACUGGAUGAUCUCCAGAGGUCCCUUCCAACCACUGCGAUUCUGUGAUUCUGAUUCUAAUCUCACAAAGAACAUGGGACUAAUAUUUCUAAGUUUAAGAAUCAGAGGGUUUUUUCAAACCAUUUUAGGAGGAGGCAAGAAACACUUUGGUUUAGCUUUCUGGUCUGAAAAUAUCAAUAGUUUGUUGCAUUUUUGAAAAGAGCCACAGGAAUCAUAGAUCAAAGAACCAUAGAACGGCUUGAGUUGGAAGAGACCACAAAGCCCAUGCAGCCCCAACCCUCUGCCAUGGGCAGGGCUGCUCCCCAGCAGCUCAGGCUGCCCAGGACCCCAUCCAACCUGGCCCUGAGUGCCUCCAGGGAUGGGGCACCCACAGCUUCUCUGGGCAGCUGUGCCAGGGCCUCACCUCUCUCUGAGUAAAAAUUUUCUGCCUAACAUCUAACCCAAAUCUCCCCACUUUUAGUUUAAAGCCAUUUUCCCUUGUCCUAUCACUAUUAGACUGUGUGAAAUGUUGGUUCUCCUCCUGUUUAUAAACUCCUCUCAAGUACUGGAAGGCCACAGAGAGGUGUCCCCGGAGCCUUCUCUUCUCCAGGCUGAACAAGCCCAGCUCCCUCAGCCUUUCUUCACAGGAGAGGUGCUCCAGCCCUCUGAGCAUCUUCGUGGCCCUCAUCUGGACAUCCUCCAACAGCUCCACAUCUUUCUUGUGCUGGAGGCCCCAGGUCUGAAUGCAGUACUGGGCCUCAUGAAGGCAGAGCAGAGGGGAAUAAUCACCUUCCUCUCCCUGCUGGCCACCCCUCUGUUGAUGCUGACCAGGAUACUGUUGGCCUUCUGGGUUGCAAGAGCACACUGAUGGCUCAUGUCAAGCCUUUUAUCUAUCAGAGACCGCAGGUCCUCCUCCGCGGGGCUGCCCUCAAUGAGUUCUUCUCCCAGACUGUACACGUAUCAGGAAUUACCCUGACCUGAGUGCAACACCUUGGUCAAGCCAUUGCUCUCAUGGCUACAGGUCUGUUGUUUGGACACAAUAAUGUACAGAUGGGCUUUGCAUUUAUCAAGAAUAAUCACCAGCUGAGAUGCUGAGUGGAGGAAAACUAUUAUCGUCGUGACUGAACAGAGUCUGGCAGCAUUCUUUGUUGUUUGUGGCUUAUUCUUGAAAUUAGAUUUCAGAGACUAAACUGACCUCUCUGUAAGCUGAGCUCAGAAGAUGAAGGCCAAUAAUGGGAGAAGGAGCACAUCUCAAGGCAAAAGGUUUAACCGUCUGCCUCUUGGUAACCUGCAGGAAAUCCACCAACCAUCAUUUCAUUUGCAGCGAUUAAAGGUGAACAAUAUAGCUCUGUGUAGGAUUUCUUGUAUUUGAGACACAUUUAGUUAAUUAUUACCUCUUCAUUUAUUUUCUACUCUAGAAUAAGUCUCGCUGUGGGAAGCAGGGUGUAGGAAACACGAGGUGGUGCUUUUCAGCGACAAACCUUCAACUAUGGCAUUGUUUUUCAUACUUGCAAUAUUCAGCCACAGUAUCCACAAGGGAGGUACCACAAUUGCAAAAUGCUAUUUAAAAUAAUGGCGUGUUUUAGAAGAGCUUCCAAUGUCUCUCAUAAUAUUUGCAGAUAAUCUCAGUUUGCCAAUCUGUCAAGUAAUUAUUCUCCAUCUGUGAUAUCCAGUGAUAACCAGUUAGACUUUCAAAUUCAUUUUUACCAACAUUGGUGAGCUCAUCACUCGCCUGUUGAAAGAACAGAACACAAACAUUAAAAAAGUGCAAAGGCAAUGUAUUUAUUAUUGUAGCAUGCAGUCAAACCUGCAUAAUAACUACUAAUUAAAGUGUUAAGGCCUUAAUUUUAGAAAGACAGAGAGGCUUUCUGCUUUUGUACAGUACCAUACACACAUCAUUUUUAUGCUUUGCUUUCUGUGAUUAGUGACCAAGGCCUGGCAUGAGACAAUUUUACUUAAUCAGCUGUAUGCAUUAAAUACCAGCAGCUGCAAUUAGACAUUCUUUUGUAUCACAUACUACGCCUCACGCUGCUAUUUGCUCCUGACCUUGGCAGGCACUUCUGCUGUGUUUGGAGAGGAGCACAGUGAAAUUCAGAAUUCUUUUUUUCACAGCCUGGAUGUUGGCAGAUGUGCACACACAUUCUUGCCCCACAGACCAAACAGAGCAACUUCAGAAGUGCAGCAGGAGUUCCUUUAAAACAGACUGGGAAGGAAAGGUGGGAAUGAACGAAACCUCUACCCCGUGCCUUAACACUUUUGAGUACGAUGUUGGUUUGCAAUGCUUACGUAUCACUUUGGACAUUACACAUUGGCACUGAGUACCUAAAACAAGAGACUUGAGCUUUCCAUUUGCUUUGCACAUCUGUUUUGUCGGGUCCUGUGCUCGUAGCAUUUUUUCCCAGCUGCAGUAUCACAACUGGACACUAGAGAGCUCCUUUUACCAAAGACAUCUCUCCAACGUGAGGGCAGAGCCCUGUGAGGUGCGUACAGAGCAUUCCUCCUUUUUUAUAUAACACGGUUUUACUCAUUCUUCAUUUUUAUGUUAAAAAUUAAUAUUCUCAAGGGAAAGCUAUCUUUGCCAGAAAGAGCAAUGGCUGCAGCUGUAGCUCCACAUCUCCUACCCCCAACAAGACAGAGAUUUCAUAGGAGUAGUAACUUGGGAACUAAUUACACAAUUUCAGAGAUAAGAAAAAGUAAAUCAAAUGCUGCCAGCAUGGAAAUUAUAAUUAAGUUUUUCUCUGAAUAACAAAUACACUCCAUAUGUAAUUUAUUAUGACUAUUACUAUAUUAAUAAUACUAAUAACCUAUGCCAUGCACCUAUGGAGAGUACAUGUUUUUGUCUAAAUUGCUGGGUUAUAGUCGCAGAUGCAGUAUGAAUGCCAAACAGCUCUCUGCAGUCAUUCUGCUGAUAACCUUAAGCCUUACAACACCCAAGCUAUUGCUAAACACUACUCUAUUAGCAAGUGAUAUAACAGGAUGACGACUGGAUCUACUUUUUUCAUUAGCUGUGUUUGACCCGUUCCCCCAGUUGCCUUUACCCUAUCAAUCAUUUAUUCAAAACCAAAACAAAAUCUCCUAUGCUGUCACUGUAAGGGCAUAUGCGUUCCUGCUCCUCUGAUUUUGGCAUAAGCACAGUCUGCUGCAAGAUGCUGUAAUGAUGUGACAUCUUAUCAUAUUGCCCGUUAGGGAUUUUGCGUUAGGGUUGAUUUACAGAUAGCUGUGUCCUGAGGUCAGCAGUGAGAGGGCACAACAUUUUGUCUCCAAAGCAAAGCCCCGUCCCACUCUUACCUCAGAAUCUUGGAGUGCAAAGAUUGAAAAAGCCCAUAGGAAAUCUUCAGAAAGGCUGAGGAAAGCCUUGCUCCAGCCCUCCCUGUGCUCCAUUGUGGUUCUUGGCCAGGGCAGAGAAGUACAGCUUUCACUGCAGUGCUUCCCAGUAGUACCGCCGUGCCAAUGGCUACGUCCUUUGCUCUUGCCUACUCAUCCCAGUAUGAACUGGGAACACAAGAACCAGUGAAAUCCAGAGUGCAGAGCCAACCUUCCCCAAUCAGUUGUGUGCCUCGGAGGGAGGAGUGGGCCUUGCAAGUGUGCUGUCAGCUCCUGCCUGUGUUCCCUGCCCAAGGUAGCUUUGGGCACACCUCCUAAUUUUCCUGCACCUCUGCUGCUUCAGAUGUUUUGUGUGGUGUAGCUAAAAGUCUCAUUUUCUUCCACCAUUUCUUUGCCUUGUUCCCCUGCUCAGUCUGGGAUCUGAUUGGUUUUACCUAGAAAGCCAGAGAAACUAUGUUCUGAAUUUCGAGGGAGCUAUUCUUCCAGGACAGCCCAACUGUAUUAAUGACAGUGAGCUGAAAUGUUCCACUGACAUCUCUUUACUUUGUUUCCAAAACCAGCAAGAGACGAUAGUAGCUGAGCCAGACUUUAAUGGUAGCUUUUCUUUGUUCUUUUCAACCCACAGUCUUUUGAAAAUGUAAUGGUAAAAGAUAGAUGAGAUUUUCAGCUUAGGGCAGCUCCAAACAGGCUGGCCAAGGAGGUCAGCGUGGGAAGGGGAGGCUGCCUUUUGAUUCAUCUGAAAGUCAUCUCUUACAAACUGCUCGGUGUGAGCCUUGGUCAGGUCAUUAUGCAACUCUGACGUUGUCCAUGCAGAUCAGGGCUCCAGCAUGGCACUCAUCAGCUCUCUUCCUAAACCACAGAAUCAUAGAAUGGCCUGGGUUGAAAAGGACCUCAAAGAUCAUCGAGUUUCAACCCCCUGCUAUGUGCAGGGUCGCCAACCACCAGACCAGGCUGCCCAGAGCCACAUCCAGCCUGGCCUUGAAUGCCUCCAGGGAUGGGGCAUCCACAACCUCCUUGGGCAACCUGUUCCAGUGCGUCACCACCCUCUGGGGGAAAAACUUCCUCCCAGUAUCCAACCUAAACCUCCACUGCCUCAGUUUAAAACCAUUCCCCCUUGUCCUAUCACUAUCCACCCUCAUAAACAGCCAUUCCCCUUCCUGCUUAUAUGCUCUUAAAUGACCUUGAUGCACCCAGAAAAUCCUCCCUACCUUUGAGAAGGGAGAGCCUCUAAUGAUAGCAACUCUAACGAAACCCAACCAUAGCUUGCCAAACUGCAGCUAACAAAAUCAAAGGGCGUGGUGAAGUCAGGGCUAGCGUGUCUCUUACAAAACCCCAAUUCUCAAAAAACUGUUUUAUUGCUUCCAGCCCUGGGAGCUCACGUUACACACUGGACAAACCUAGCAGGGCCCUGUCAUUUGUCAGUCAGUGUUAUGGCACGACAGGAGCCUGAAAAGUUAAAAACCAGUUUAACGAAUUAAAAAAUUUAAUGGGAUUCCCAUUAAGCUCGUCUGGGAAGUUUCAUCUGGGAGAACAAAGAAGGAAAUACCGUGGGAUAUGUUUUCUUUGCGGGGAGGAUACGUGGUCCCCACAGGCAAGAACAGCAAGGUGCUCCCUGGAGAGAGAGAGAAGCCUGCAAUAUUUCACAAAGGAAAUUAAAAUGUGAUUCCUGUCAAGUCACCCCUUAUGAGUCCUCCUCUUCUCAUUAACGUUUUGGACAGUCUGAUAUUCAGAAAAACAAAGAUGCUAACUGUGGCUGUCAGUUACUUUUCUUCCUUAAUUUUAUUUUGCAUCAGCUGACCAGAGAGCAAAAUUUUUGCGAGGCAUCCAAGAUCUCAGCAUUGGAGGAACUCUUCAUAGAAACUGAAUUUAACAGCUCUGCCAAUUCAGCUGGCAGAUGUGUUUAUUACAAUGACAAAUGCCCUGGGACCUUCUAGUCCCCUUUCUCUAAAAAAAUCCCACUUUUGCUUUAUUCAUCUCUCCCCAAAAUAUUUUAGAAGGCGGACUCAGGAAAAAUGACUCGCUUAGCAGAAUUUGUAUAAAUUAUUACUUAAUGAUCGUGAUCCAUAGGCUAUUCUUUCCAUCAAGAUGUAAGCCACUGCCAAGCCAGACUAAUAGGAGUUUAUAGACCAGCAGUGAGUGUAAGCAGUCUCAGUGACACGAAUACAAACCCAGCAGCUCAGCUUACUGCAGCUUAGAAUGGAUUAAUGUCCCAUGGCAGAUGCCAGCCUCUUGCCAAAAAGACUAACCCAGUCUUUAUGAAUUUCCUGUUCCUCACAAUGGUUGAGCUACGUCAAUACUGAGAUAACUAGAAAUAGACCCAACUUCUUCAAUGUCGGACUGCGCCCGAAUUUUCCUUGAGGCUCUUCUACAGCCCUUGCCUAUUCAGAGCAAGCUCAGUAUGUUCUUUUACUGAUUUCAUCAACAGAUCCUUUUAAGCAGUGGUAACCCUCAGGAAGCUAAUUUGUUUUCUCUCCAUCUUUUCCCAAGGAAGAAUUAAGAGUGGAGAGGAGUACUGUGGUUUGAUAGAGUGGUUUGUUUGCUAUUAUUAUUGUUUUUGUUUGCACCGGAGAGCGUUGGCCUUUUGCACUGAGAUGAUGAUGGGGAUCAUGGAAAUCCUUCUUUUUUUUCUUCUUCUUCUUCUUUUUUUUUUUUUUUUUUUUUUCCCAGGUUUUGCAGAGAAACACUCAUUAUUCUUGCAACAGAAUCUAGGGAAGCUCUGUCUCAGCAUACAUGACCUCUACUGUACAAAGAAAAAGGUUGCGUUGUGCCUGAGGAACAAAGCUCUGGAAUUAAGUCUAUAACAGCUAAGAUAUGCUGGGCCACGGAGCAUCUUUGCAAGUCUCUAAACAGCCCACAGGAAAAUCUCAGAAGGACCCUACAAAGGCAAGACUGAGAACUCUCUUCAGCUUUGGGAAAGUUCUGCACUGCUCAUGGAGAAGGAAAACUGCAGAUCCACACUGAAUCAGAGAAGAAAAAUGCUCUCUUCUCCACUCCCCACCCCACCACGUGGCUCCACACCCCCAAAGCAAGCGCACAAGAAUGUUGAGACGCAUCACUACCCUUUGUCAACCACAAGCCCCAGUCACUUUGCACACACUGUCCCACGCCUCCCCUCUCUGUCAAACCACGGAUGCUGCAGCCACCACGGGGGCUUAAAGAACCUCUCCAAUCCUGCCAUUAGACUAAAGCUUAAAGUGGGUCUCUCCAGAGGCGGAAAAGGAAUUUGUUGUAUGAGCUGAAAAAAAGAUUCCCUCUAAUCCAGUAACAACUAUGGCAAGCUUUUUUUCAGCUUGAAAUCUCUGGUUUUACACGAGCAUAUGAAGCAGGUGUCAAAUGGAUCUAAAAAUGGGUCACGGAGGAUUCUGUUGCUCGCCAUCUGUGUCAGUGGUGGGGAACGCACAUCCACAGGGAUCCACGGGGCACCGCGCGGUAUCUCCUUGCUGAUACAGUUUUGUAGGAUGAAGGGCUUUGUGUUUCCAGUAGUGAUACAUAGUGCGCUCUGUGUCUACUCAGGGGAGGUGGUUAAUCACAGGGCUGCGGGCUGAACCUCAAGCACUAAAACCUACUGAAAAGGAAAGGUCGCCCUGGGGACAUCAGAUAGCUUUGUCUCCUGAGGAUCACAGGUCCAGAAAAAAAGCUGCAGGGUACUGAGGGCAAGAAGUUUCCUCUCCUGCUUGUGAUCCUUCCAUCUCUUAGCCGCAGUUGAAAGUGAAGGCAGAAACUUGAGAAUUUCCACUGGGCUUUAGGAAGACUCUUUGCCAAAGACAAACUUCCUGUAGCCUAUACUGACCUAGAGGCAAGUCAGUAUGGUAACGAGUAAAACGGAUCAUCAAUUAGAUUGCUCUAGCUCAGCCCAGCAAAGCAUUCCAUCUUGGCUCUGUUGCAGUGCUCCCGGUAACUCCAAAGCCCCACUCCUAUUUGGCUGCACAGAGUGAGGGGCUCUGGGCUGUGCAGAUCGCUGCCUCGCCACAGCUCCUCCAGCACAGACAGCACGCUGCUUUAAUGCCAAACUCAGCUCCAGGUUUUGCAGCACUCACAGGAUCACCGAGGUUGGAAAAGACCUCUGAGAUCAUCCAGUCCAACCGUCAGCCCACCACCGCCAUGCCCACUGACCACGUCCCCCAGUGCCACAUCCACGUGGCUCUUGAACGCAAGAUGGCAAUUUCCUUCCAUAGCUUUUUUUUUGCUUUUAGCAGUAUGAAUGCAAUCUGCACCAACCAAACAUUGUAUGCUUGGCAGAUAGAGUUUCAUCCUAGGGCUAUUGAAAUCAAUUGUGAAACCGUUCAGUAACUGACUACAAGCAGAAAUCAAUUGUACCAGUUACCACAUGGCUUAGUUGAAAUGUAAAAUUAUUUGUUCAGAGAGCAAGAAACUAUUUACUUGUGCUGCUUCUGAAAUCUACCUCUAGCUGUGACCAGAUGGUAAUUUAACUUUUAAAUUGUAUUUACUGCAUUCUUAUACUCUAAUCAGUCGGUGCAAAGCCGAACUCUUCUGAAGUCCGCGCUUCAGCUUCAAACUUAAAACUUUUGCAGUUUCUCUCUGCCUUUGAGCUGUUGCCAUCCUCAGACAGUAACACAUCAAUCGUCGCCCGGCCCUUUGAAGUGUAACAGUUCAGAUGUGACUGCUGCGCGCGUAGCCUGCCGUAUGUUCCACCGUGAGUGGAGGCUGAGCCUCCCUACUUCACAAGUAACGAGCUCCGCUCAAUUAGCAGAGCGAGUUCUUUUUGAGCGUUGUGUGUAAUUAGUUUCAAGGUCUUCGGUUUUAAUGGCCAUUUGUUAACAAUCUUUUUAUAUCGCUGGCACGAAACUUGUGAUUCAAAUACAAGCAAACAGCCAAAAAGCUGGAGUGCUCGACUACACGUGUGAUCCCACAGCUCAGAUCUCCUCUUCUGAGAAGCAGUUUGGCUUUACAUUUCAGAAGCGAUGACAUGGCUGCAUUAGGUAAAGGCCCAAGGCCCGCGGGAGCAGGAG